rnacentral:rRNA from 1 species
UACCGGCACCCCAAGUGGUCGUCGCUUUUAUUGGGCCUAAAACGUCCGUGGCCGGCUCUGUAAGUUUUCGGUUAAAUCCGUACGCUCAACGUACAGGCUGCCGGGAAUACUGCAGAGCUAGAGAGUGGGAGAGGUAGACGGUACUCGGUAGGAAGGGGUAAAAUCCUUUGAUCUAUUGAUGACCACCUGUGGCGAAGGCGGUCUACCAGAACACGUUCGACGGUGAGGGAUGAAAGCUGGGGGAGCAAACCGG